GCCGAUUCCACAAAUAAUAAAGGGAUCUAGGGUUUUAGAUUUUCUCCUAGAACAGAAGUAGAGCUCAAGCCAGAAAACCAAAGAGGAUUCAAAUCAAGGCGAAGUAAAAAUCGAGAAAUCAUGUUUCCAGGAAUGUUUAUGCGAAAACCAGACAAGGCAGUGGCAUUGAAGCAGUUGAAGACCCAUGUGGCUAUGUUCGGUGUGUGGGUCGCCGUCGUCCGUGUCACCCCUUACAUUCUCCACUUCCUCUACGAUGAAAAAGAUGAGCUCAAGCUCGAAUUCUAACCCCUCUCUCUCCCUAUUGCAAGGUAAUUUACGGUUCUCUCUCCCUCCCUGGAAGGGAUGAGUGUUGUUAUUGGAUCAUUUUAGGAGGGUACUUGUUAAAAUUUGUGUUUUUUCAACUUUGGGUGUUAUACAGUGAUUGGUGUGAAUGCACUUGAGCUGAAAAGUUGAUUAAGGUUAUGAAUUGGGUUUAUUUCAUUUGACUCUGCCUUUCAUCUGUGAAUGGAGCUUCUAUUUGCUGAAAGUAUGAUGUAGAACUCUUAAGAAACGAUUUCUGUGCCUAGCCACAUACGAAAGAGAUAAUGAGUUCCCUUGAGUUGGAAGUAACGUGGAUGCUUCGACUUUUGUGCUAUAAUGUAAUUACAUGUUUUGAUUAUAUGAACUUUUGUGAAUAAAUCUUUAAAACUUUAGAAGAUUUUUGAAUCCAAAUAUAACUUAAAUUUAAGGCAAUGUGAGUUGAGAAUGGUGCAAAAACAUUUUUGUUUUUGUGGUGGAAGAUUAUGGUGGGUUGAGAAGAAAGUGAAGGAAGAAUGAGUAAAAGUAUUGUCUGGAUGCCUCUUUCAUGGAGUUAUGGUGAUGCUUGGGACCUCUAAAUGAAAUUUGUUACUUAUCAUGAAAUGGGAAAGACACUUUCCCCUGAAGUGAUAAACAUCAUGGGAAAUUGAAUUGAUGGUCAAAUAUGAUAAGCAGGAUUACGUUUGAGUAUAAAUGUCAAGGUUAACCCUUUGGAUGAAAGAAGGAAUUUGUCAACUUGGUGCAUCAUCUCUAGUUGACAAACUUUUACGUGCCCCAAUGUGAUCAUAUUUUUGGCUCCAAGGUUGUCUACUUUGGGUAUUAACCAUAGAUUUGAAAUAGAUCUUGGUGGAAUUGGUUAUGCCUUGCUUUCUUGAAUACUGAAGUUCUGGUAGCCUCCGAUCUUGAGAAUUGCAGGUUCCUCUCGCUUGCACACCCAGUCAAUAUUAGCAUUGUUUCAGUCCAUCAUAGACUUGGCUUGGUCAUUAGAUCCUCUUUUAUGAAAAAAUAAGAGAGAACUAUCAAUUGAAGCAAUGGAUAGAUUUCAUACCAACCAAAUAAUGAAAUUCUGUAGAGUCCAGUUUAUGUUGCAUUGCCUUUUCUUCUUUCACUUUGGCUUAAGUCUAGCAUUGUCUAUGUACUCAUAGACGCGCAUAUUCAUAUCUAGCGGCUGCAAAUUAUAGAGUUGUGUAAUAUGUGCGGUCCCACAUUGUUCGUUAAGAUUUUUGUAAUUAUGCACUAUCUUACAUUUCUGAAGAAUAAUUGUUACUUUUAUUUUCUUUGCGGUAUUAUAUCAAAUUUCAAUAUUAAACUCCACAAUCACUUCUGCUAUUAUUACCUUCUACAAUAUGCUUCUGUUGCCAUCUUCUUCCAGCAUCUGCCUCCUCCAUAUUGUUACCGCCACGAAACUUGCCAGUGUUAGCAUAUCUGAACCACUGUUUUUCUAUUACCUUUACCCUUCUGUUAUACCACCAUUGUUGUUGGUAAAUUUUAUUAUGCCACUUUCAGACACUGGCUGGAUUAUGUGUCUACUGCCUUUACCAACUGUUGUCAACUUGUCAUUAGUAUCAUUAUAACAUCAUCUUUUGUAUGACUGGAAUUGCAUGUUAAUUAAGCAUCAAUUUCUUGAGUCAAAUGUAUCCUUAUUUUGUAUGGACACUCGAAAAUGGAAAAAAGUUGGAUUUCUGAAUACAUUGCGACUUCUGAGUAUGAAAAUGGGAAUAUUUUGAAGGCAUAUUACCUUUCUUUUUAAAAAGGGAAAGUGCAAUGACACCUAAUUUUCCACCAUUUAGCACAUGUUUAGAUUAUACAAACAAAAUAGUGAAGUGAUUGAGGAUAUAUUUUUCACAGUCCAAAAUAGAACAAAGACUAUUGAAAAGUUAAGAAUAAGUUAGUUGUAGUACACAUGAUAUGAUAAAAGUUUACCAUAGGAUCCCCGAUACCCAAGGAAGAAAGAAAAAAUAUAUGAUUCUAUGCUAUUGUAUUUCAUGUGCUAUGCUUGACUACCAAACAAAUUUAAAAUGGGAAAGGGAGAAAAGGGGCAAAAUUUGCAUGGCCUAUGAAUUAUAAACUGAUUGUAUCUAGAAGAUAAGGUAGGUUUGUUAUUGGAUUCCAUAAUAGAACAAAGGAAAACUCAUUACUCUUGGAUAUUUGGUCUGUAACUGAGUUAAGUAAUUUGUCCCCUCAUUGAUGAGUCAACAUUCUUUUGGAAUCUUUUGGCCACUGAUUUUGAUUUUGCUGUAUCAAUCCAUCAGCAGUAUAGCUUUACUUGCUUCUUUAAUUAAGGUCUUAGCUUUUAUCUUUAUUGUCCGGUGCAUUAAGUGGGACUUUUGCUUUAAGAGUGAGUUUGAUUGGAUGCCUGUGGAUAUGCCUUCAAAGGUCGGAGGGUAGAUUUGUCUUCAUGUACAAUAUUUUGUUAAGAUGAAAUACUGCUCGAGCAAUUGGCUGUUUGUUCUAUUCUUCCAGCUUAUCAUGCACUGUGUGAGCAGGUUAUUCCAAUUGUUUGAAUACUAUUAUAGCUUUUCAAUUUUUUUGGUGCUCACCAUUUCUUUGCCUCUAGACUAGAAAGUUUUUGUUGUUCCAAGUAUUUUAAGUUAAAAUUUUUUAAAAAAUUUACCUAUGAAUUUUAAGUUUUGGCUUAAAAAAUAAAGAAAUUAUGUAGGCACUAUUUAGUCAACCUUUUGCCUUUUGGUUUCUGGGAAUAUUUUCUAUAAAUUUUGAUUUUGCUGUAAAACAGAUAUUAUAGUAAGAAAACUUAAUUGGUUAAUAUUUAAAUUCCAUUUCAUAUGAGAAAAGUAAAAAGCAAUUACAGAAAAAAAAAAAAGAAAGCUUUUUUGCUUCUUAAUUAUUUGUUUUUGUUGUCUAACAAAAGGAUCAACAUUGCUUAUAGAAUGGCAAAAAGAGUAUAUAGAAAUUAAUGUGAGCAAGCUUGACAUCUUCAGUUCCAUGAUAGCAAUAUUUUAAGAUGGUUUCUAUGGGUUUCUAUGUUAUCUAUCUCUGAUUAUUUAUAUAUUUAUUUGUUCAUCUUUUUCUGCCGAUGUAGUGGUCCAGAAGUUGAGAAAUUGAGUUGGAGUGAAGCAAGUGUCUGAGCUUCAGUCUGUUUUUUUACUUCAACUGGAAGUAUGUGAGGCCAGCACGAGCAUUAGAUCAUUUAUCUUUUUAUCAUUUUGAAGAUUUGACACUCUGAUAUCAUGUCAUGACUGUUUUAGGAUAAAUACUUUGUGGAAUGUAUUUUUGGUUUCAUGUUAGCAACAGUAAAAGAGUUCAUUUCUCUUUAUCUAUAAUUUUAUAUACUACUGAGGACUUGGGGUUAGUUUUCAACUUUUCGGAAUACCUACUCUGAACUUGUUUUACUUUAUAAAUAUUUAACUUUCUUUAUAAAUAAUUUCAUAGAGGACUAAGCU
rnacentral:misc_RNA from 1 species